GACGAACCGUGCGAACGUUGUUCGGAAUCACUGGGCUUAAAGGGCGCGUAGGCGGGCUGUCGCGUCUGGGGUGAAAUCCUCCGGCUCAACCGGGGAAGGGCCUCGGGUACGGACGGCCUCGAGGGGGGUAGGGGCGUGCGGAACUGUGGGUGGAGCGGUGAAAUGCGUUGAUAUCCACAGGAACUCCGGUGGCGAAGGCGGCACGCUGGACCCUCUCUGACGCUGAGGCGCGAAAGCCAGGGGAGCGAACGGG
rnacentral:rRNA from 1 species